rnacentral:rRNA from 1 species
UACGUAGGGGGCAAGCGUUGUCCGGAAUCAUUGGGCGUAAAGCGCGUGUAGGCGGCCAGAAAAGUCCGCUGUGAAAACUCGAGGCUCAACCUCGAGCUGUCGGUGGAAACUUUCUGGCUAGAGUCCGGAAGAGGAGAGUGGAAUUCCUGGGAUGUAGCGGUGGAAAUGACGCAGAUAUCAGGAAGAACACCCGUGGCUAAGGCGGCUCUCUAGUACGGUACUGACGCUGAGACGCGAAAGCGUGGGGAGCAAACAGG